AUGGCUGAAUGUUUUCUCCAUUUUCUGAUGGCCAAAAGGAAUACAGGAACCACAGUACCUAGCACAGAACAGGGCUGUGAAAUCCUGGAAUUGAUAUGGAGGACCUGGAAUCCCAAGGCUGAGAGGUCAGUUUCCAUUGGCAACGCAGUAAGGAAACAAUGCCUUUUAGCGUGUUACUGUAAAGGGUGAGAUAUUCUUUUAGAAGAUUAGCAAUAGCUUGCACCAUAAACUAGAUGUAAUGUAGGAAUUCCUGUCAUGCCUGAGCGAAACGAAUCUGACUAGCAUCCAUGAGGACCCAGGUUCGAUCCCUGGCCUCACUUAGUGGGUUAAGGUUCUGCCGUUGUCAUGAGCUGUGAUGUAGUUCGCAAUCACGGCUUGGAUCCUGCAUUGCUGUGGCCGUGGUGUAGGCCAGCGACUUCAGUUCCAAUUCGACCCCUACCCUGGGAACCUCCAUAUGCCGUGGAUGUCUAAAAAGACAAAAACAAAAACAAACUGGAUGUAAUAUAACUCAGUAGAAGGCAGGAUGUGAGACUAGAGAGGUUAAUGGGACUAGAUCAAUGGAGAGCCUUGCCUUCCUUGUUAAGGGGUUCAUAUUUUAUCCCAUUGGUCAUGGGAAAUUAGUGAGAAGUUCUAAUCAAGGACAUAUUCAUUGUCAGCCAUCUAAUUGAAGUGGGAGGAGAUAUUUGAAGAGAACUUUCUGUGAGGAAGUGAAAGCAGUGGAGAAAGAGAACUCUCUAGUGAGCAGUGAUUUCAGGUUUAGAGAUUUUGAAAAUAGAGCCCUUCGGAGUUAUCACAAGAGUUGUAUGGCUGCCUUAGAACUGAAGAGGAAUAAAAUGAAUUUAAAUAUAAGCCGAGACACCCCAUUAUUUGAGAAGGUGGGUGAAAUGGAAGUAUGUCAUUUCAAAAGUAGUCAAGUAAGGACUGUCUCUAAGAAAAUUUCUUAUGUUAAGCUGAAGGUGCCUGAAUUUCAAGCACUAUAACUUAAAGCACUGGAUUUUUCUGAAAUAACAUGUAACCCAUCAUUUGUUCUUUGUUCCUGCUUCCUAACCAUUAUGAUGAAAAGCCAUCUUAGAAUUAGUCUUAGAAAGCCACGUUCCUAUACAUUUGGGGAGGUGGGGAUGUGAGGAGGUGAUCAGUGAAUGAUACAGGAGCAUAUGGUAUAAACAAGUUGACCACUAAAUAUUGUUAUGUGGAUUAUCUGCCACUGGAGUUAAUGACAGCAGAUAUUUUCUUUUUGAUCAUUUUAUAAAACUGUGAAUAGGCUGCAUUGUUUGUAAUUCCAAGCCAAAUAAAAAUGACUUGGGGACCAGUCACGAUUAGAAUUAUCUACCUCACCUGUCUUCUACUGUGGAAGGGUGGCAGGGCAUUUCUUUCUGGCCAGUUUAGCCUUUUUUAUGAUCCUUCCCUUCUCCCUUAUUUCUGGGCAGAAUUACAUCAUGUUGUAAAACACUAUACCACUUAAAACUAUAGGCAAAAAUACAGCAGUCCUUGCUACUAGGUUUGGAGGAUUUUUUUAAAUAAUAUAAAACAAAUGACUCAUAUUUUAGGGACUACUUCUUAACUUUACUAUAAACAGCUACACUAUUUUUCUAUCUCAAUUUCUUAUAUUUGGGGCCUAUUCCAGUUUUAUAUCCAGGCCUAUUAUUAUUUGGAAUUGGGCAGAAAAAAUGGAGAUAUUAGAAUUUGGACACCAAGUUGUUGAUUUGAAACUGUGUACUGGUUUAUAUGAUUUUUUAAGUGGCCAAAGAAAUUUUCAGCAUUUUAGGUUCCAGCUUUUAUACUUUCAAAGUUUAUUUCCAGCCUCUUUCAAACCCUUUCUCUGAAUUCCAUGAAUAUGGUAUUACUUCCUACAUGGUGCUGGGGCUCCUAGUUCACUUGUGUUCAGCUGCAAAAAAAAAAAAAAAAAAAAAGUAAAAGGCUACGUUUCUUCCCUGUGUUUUCCACACACAAGCCAAGUCACUGCUUUCUGGAGAUUAACAUCUGUAAGCUAAUUCUGAAGUUGUUAAUGGCAAGAAUCAGAGCAAUUGGCAUGCGUUUUAAAAUACAGGGUUUAAGGUUUAAGAUGAUCUCGCCUACUCAUUUGUGAGAGCCGUGUGACAUAGCCAUGUGUUCUUUCUAGAGGGUUCCAGCAAAGACUUUAUUUCAAUUGCUUUAACUGGAUUUUGGAACAUUUUUUGAGAGUGUAGAUGAACUCCCAAACACAAAGCAAAUCUCUGCUACUUGAUUUGUUGUAAAACCAUAACAUGUUUUCCAUUGAUUUCCAGCCUAGCCACAUUCUUCAGACUUCCCCUCAUUCCUGAACUUGAAAAACUUGAAUAGAAAAGAAGCUGUGAUGCCUCUUUUCAACAAAUUCUGAUUCCAAGUACCCAUGGGAGCAAUGACAAGAAACACAGUUCAUGUUUCAAAACUAAUAGGAUACUAGAAAAAGUAUAAAUAUUCUCAAAGAAUCGUGUACAAACUUUGCAACAAUCUGUUUUCUUUUUUAUUUUAUUUUAUUUUUUUGUCUUUUUGCCUUUUCUAGGGCCGCUCCCUCUGCAUAUGGAGGUUCCCAGGCUAGGGGUCGAAUCGGAGCUGUAGCCACCAGCCUACGCCAGAGCCACAGCAACGCAGGAUCCGAGCUGCGUGUGCAACCUACACCACAGCUCAGGGCAACCCUGGAUCCUCAACCCACUAAAGCAAGGCCAGGGAUCUAACCCACAACCUCAUGGUUCCCAGUCGGAUUCGUUAACCACCAAGCCACAAUGGGAACUCCAACAAUCUGUUAAUAAGCAAAUAUUUUCCAUAGCUUACACAAUAUCCUGAAACAUUUCUACCUACCCUUAAUAGUGUCUCUAGGCAAGCAUGACAAAUGACUGUGAAAAGCCAAGAGCUAAAAUAUUAUCAAAUCCCAAAAGUUUAAAUUUCUUUUUUAAAUGAAAACUUUACCUCUCUGUAAUCUAAGUUCCUUAGGAUUUGUUCUUAUUUUUGUUUCAAGCCCUGGAGAAUCUGUGCUCAUUUUUUUUUGUUUGUUUAUUUUAGCUCUUUUCCAAAGAAAAAUAGCAUGCUAACAUAGGGUAAGUUAGCAAUAGCCCAAAAACAAAACAGAUUACUUAUUUGAUUUUCUCAGCCUUUAUUCCCUCCUUAAGCUGGUUGGGCUCUUAACUAGGAGUGCUCCCAAGAUGACAUAUUAAGAUUUUACAUGUCAAAGUUACGAGGAAGAGAACAGGCAAACAUUUAAAGCUAAAAAUGUGACACAGAAAUAAUAUGGUAAGUUCCCACAGAGUUUUGUCAUUGUUGAGCCGUAGGUUUGACAAUCAUUAAUGUGCUAUUAAUAAGUCUUACUGUUAGGGGGACUUACUUCACCAGCCUCAGGAAGUUUGUUCUUUAGACAGCCAUUGCUUUAAGCGGCCUGUCAAAUUGAUUCAGACAUGCAAGGUAAGAAAGAGAUGUAAUUAAAUCUUUUCAAAUAGACUGGCUAAGCACACAUCUGCUGCCACUGAUAGAU
rnacentral:lncRNA from 9 species